UACGGGGGAUGCGAGCGUUAUCCGGAUUUAUUGGGUUUAAAGGGUGCGUAGGCGGAUUUUUAAGUCAGCGGUAAAAUGUCCGGGCUCAACCCGGGCCGGCCGUUGAAACUGGGGAUCUUGAGUGGGCGAGAAGUAUGCGGAAUGCGUGGUGUAGCGGUGAAAUGCAUAGAUAUCACGCAGAACUCCGAUUGCGAAGGCAGCAUACCGGCGCCCGACUGACGCUGAGGCACGAAAGCGUGGGGAUCGAACAGG
rnacentral:rRNA from 1 species